UCUAUGUCUAUACAUGUUAAAGCUGUAUUUGCUGUGUUUGUUGAAGGGAGUGUGUGCAUUAGACCAUUCUUAGGUUUUCAACAUUAACGACAGGUUAUAGAAACAUCUACAACCUAUGUUUCCCUUGUGAUAUUUUAGGCCAUUUUGGAUGAGCUCAGUUUGGGGAGUAAUCUAGUUUACCUGAAAUAUUAGGAGGAAAAGCUCAUAGCUCUCAGGCUGGUACAUUAGGCAACCCCUCAUUAUUUUGUCAAAAUACACAAAACGAUAAGUAAACUACAAAGAUGCAUUUGGUUCGCAGUUUUAGAGGUUUCAGUCCACGCUGCUUGGCUGUGUGACUCUUUGGCCUAUGACAGUCCAGCACAUUACAGUGGAGGCGUGUGGCAGAGAAACGCUACCUAGGCCAUAUUGGUCAGGAAGCAAAGGACCUAGAUCCCACAUAUCCUUCAAGGAUAUGCUCUUAGUCAGCUACUUUUUCCAGCUAGGCCCUAUUUCCAAAGUCCUAUCAUCUUUCAAUAGUAGCACCAGCUGAGGACCAAGCCUUCAGCACAAAAUCCUUUGUGUGGGGCUGGGGAGACUCAUGGGAUCCAGUUCAUCACAGCUGGGGUGCAGCAUGGUAGUUUGGAUAGCUGUGAUCCUAGACUUAUGGUAUCCACUACACUAUGCACCAUAUAUAUAUAUAUAUAAAACUAUUGGAUAUUUCAGUACAGCUAUUUAAGUACAUUUUAUGUACAUUCUAUGAAAAAGAUUCUGAAGGCUUAAUAAGACAAAAAGUAAACUAUCUCAUUAAAUAAUAAAAUACCCCUCCCCCCACUUUGGACAGGUCGGGGUGUCUUAGUUACUUUACUUAUUUCUGUGAUAAAAGCCCUCUGAGGAAAGGGAAGGAGAGAGGUGUUUAUUUUGGCACUCACUCCAGGGGACAGUACAUCAUGGUGGUGAAGUCAAGGUGGCCAGAGGCUAAGCAUCAUAAUCAUGUUUACCAUAAGCAGAAAGUGGUAAAUGUUUGUAUUCAGCUGGCUUCCUCUUUCUUCCCCCUCGUCCUCCUGCACCUCCUCCUCUUCCUCCUCUUCCCCUCUCCUCCUCCUUUUCCUCCUCCUUCUUCUACUUCUUUUCUUUCUUUUUAGUGCAUGAGCCAUGUCCAGGAUGCUGCUGCCAGCUUUUAGUGAAUCUCACUCCUUCAUUAACUUAAUGUAAUCCUUCCCACACAUGCUCAGAUGCUAAACAAUCCUUCAGAGGUAUACUUGGGGGGCCUGGCUCCUAGGCAGUUCCAGGCCAUGUCAACAGUUAAUACUGUCACACAGGGUCCCAUGUAGCCCAAGGUGUGCAGUUGACAGCAACACUUAAAUCUUGAUCAUUUUGCUUCAAAAUUCUGAGUUUAGGAAUUCAAGCAUGGGAUUCUGGGCCACUACAUCAAGUUCGUCUGUUAUUGGGACUCCAACCCAGAGCUUUUUUAGCAUGAUAGGCAAGCAUUCUUUCAACUAAGCUACAUUGCAAUCCACUUACCUGCUUCUUUUCACUUUUAUUUUGAGUAGCUUCUAGAAAAUGGAAAGUUCAUAUAUGGUUAACAUAUGUGGCUAAAUACACACACACACACACACACACACACACACACACACACACAAAUACACACAUAUCUAACUUUUUGACUAUUCUUGUCUAGUUGGCAGGUUGCAUUUCCAUUGCUAGGACAUUGAAGAAAUUAGAGUAAAAUGAAUUUAGGCUUUGCCAGCUAUGGUUUUAGAUAGGUAGUUACUUCUAUUUUCAAAAUGUUUAUAUUUUGACUACCCAUGUUUUACUUUGAAAAUCACCUGCAAUUCAGAACAUCUGCAUGGUGUUUUGGCCAACAUUUGAGAAGAUUUGCUGUCUAGUGUUAGCAUUCACUCUUGUUUGCCAUUCACUUUGAAACAGAUAAACUAAUUUUUGCUUAAUGGAUUUUGCAGAUUCUCUGAGAGGCUUGAUAGCAAGCAUUCUUGUCUUCAAGUAAAUGUAUUGUUGAACUCCCCUAGGGCCUGAUUUUACAUCCUUUAUUCAUGUUCCUGGCAUAUACAAAAAGUACAGUAUUGCAUUAUUGUAUAUUCUUGCUUAUAACUUAUACAUAGAACAUUUUAGAGCAUGUAUAUAAAGUAUCUAAUAAAGGCAGGUAAUAACAAGAGUUUGGUGAGUGAUGAUAGAUUUUUGGUCUCCCCCCAUUUUUAUGAUGUUUUAUAUAGAUAUUCUAAGUAUUUAUGAAAUGAUAGUAGUUUACUAAAAGGAAUCAUUUUUAUAUGCCUAAAAUAGAUUGAUUUUUUAGGGAAUGGUACAUUUUUUGUCAAGUUCUUUGUGUUUCAAAAUGUUGGAACUGGAAAUGUCAGAGAUUUUAGGUAACUUUUAUGUUCAGGUAUGUGCAAGAUAAAAAC
rnacentral:lncRNA from 1 species